GUGUCAGCCGCCGCGGUAAAACGUAGGAGACAAACGUUAUCCGGAGUUACUGGGCGUAAAGGGCGUGUAGGUGGUUGUGUAAGUUCGGCGUGAAAUUUCUCGGCUUAACCGGGAGAGGUCGUCGGAUACUGCACGACUAGAGGACGGUAGAGGCGUGUGGAAUUCCGGGUGUAGUGGUGAAAUGCGUAGAGAUCCGGAGGAACACCAGUGGCGAAGGCGACACGCUGGGCCGUACCUGACACUGAGGCGCGAUAGCAUGGGGAGCAAACAGGAUUAGAUACCCCGGUAGUCC
rnacentral:rRNA from 1 species